rnacentral:rRNA from 1 species
GGCGGCGUGCCUAAUACAUGCAAGUCGAACGAAGUCUUCGGACUUAGUGGCGAACGGGUGAGUAACACGUUGGUACCUACCCCUAAGUGGGGAAUAACUGCCCGAAAGGGUGGCUAAUACCGCAUAAUCCCGCAAGGGUAAAGCAGUAAUGCGCUUAGGGAGGGGCCUGCGUCCCAUUAGCUUGUUGGUAGCGUAAUGGACUACCAAGGCGACAAUNGGUAGCUGGAUCGAGAGGUUGACCAGCCACACUGGGACUGAGAUACGGCCCAGACUCCUACGGGAGGCAGCAGUAAGGAAUCUUCCACAAUGGACGAAAGUCUGAUGGAGCAACGCCGCGUGCAGGAUGACNGCCUUCGGGUUGUAAACUGCUUUUAUAUGGGAAGAUUGUGACGGUACCAUAUGAAUAAGGACCGGCUAACUACGUGCCAGCAGCCGCGGUAAUACGUAUGGUCCAAGCGUUAUCCGGAAUCACUGGGCGU